GUCAUCUGGGGAUUUUGUAAAAAAUGUAGAUUCUGAUUCAGCGGAUCUGGGUGUGGCUGAGAUUCUGCAUUUUUAACAGGUUCUCAGGUGAUGCUAA
rnacentral:pre_miRNA from 1 species